CAUCAUGAUCUUAUAUACAAUUGAAGUGCUAUUGCCUUGUAUCACGGUAUGAUAAAUAAAAGUUGUAAUAAUGACUCAUAUAUAUUGUAAUUAGAAUGGUAAUUCAUAUGACAUUUUUAGCUAUCUUAGAAUUUAACACAAGUUGUGAAGUUAGAACAUGUAGUCCAAGGACAAGCUAGUCUAAUAAAUGAUAGUUGAAGCAUAGUGCAAUUAGCCACUAUCCUUCCUCUGUCUGCGGCC
rnacentral:lncRNA from 1 species